rnacentral:tRNA from 1 species
UUAAAAGUAGUUUAAACAGAACCGUAGCUUUGGGUGUUACUAGUGUACUUUGUAUCUUUUAGG